rnacentral:rRNA from 1 species
UACGUAGGCAGCAAGCGUUGUUCGGAGUUACUGGGCGUAAAGGGUGCGUAGGCGGCUUUUUAAGUUUGGUGUGAAAUCUCCCGGCUCAACUGGGAGGGUGCGCCGAAUACUGAGAGGCUAGAGUGUGGGAGAGGAAAGUGGAAUUCCUGGUGUAGCGGUGAAAUGCGUAGAUAUCAGGAGGAACACCGGUGGUGUAAACGCUUCUGGACCAUAACUGACGCUGAGGCACGAAAGCGUGGGUAGCAAACAGG